ensembl:rRNA 5S_rRNA 5S ribosomal RNA
GCCUACAGUCAUGCUACUCUGAACGUGCCUGAUCUUGUCUGAUCUCAGAAGCUAAGCAGCGUUGGGCCUGGUUAGUACUUGGAGGGGAGACUGCCUGGGAAUACUGGGUGCUGUAGGCU